rnacentral:misc_RNA from 1 species
AACGGUCUAUACCUGCGGUACCUGCGGAGGGAUCAUUACAGGACUCGCAAGACUCCUACAACCCUGUGAACCUACUAUACGAACGUUGCUUCGGCGGGUGCGCCCCGGGGAUUCGUUCCCGCGGCGCGUCAGCCCGCCGGCAGCCUACAAAUUCUGUUUCUUUGCGUUGGCAUCUCGAGAAAAACAAAUAAGUUAAAACUUUCAGCAAUGGAUCUCU